rnacentral:rRNA from 1 species
UACAGAGGGUGCAAACGUUGUUCGGAAUUACUGGGCGUAAAGCGCGUGCAGGCGGCCUUGCAAGUCGGACGUGAAAUCCCACGGCUCAACCGUGGAAGUGCAUUCGAAACUGCGAGGCUGGAGUCCUGGAGAGGAAAGUGGAAUACUCGGUGUAGAGGUGAAAUUCGUAGAUAUCGAGUGGAACACCGGUGGCGAAGGCGGCUUGCCAGAAUGCGCUCGACGGUGAGGGAUGAAAGCUGGGGGGAGCAAACCGG